rnacentral:rRNA from 1 species
UACGUAGGGUGCAAGCGUUGUCCGGAAUUAUUGGGCGUAAAGGGCUCGUAAGCGGUUUGUCGCGUCGGGAGUGAAAACCUUGGGCUUAACUCAGGGCUUGCUUUCGAUACGGGCAGACUAGAGGUAUGCAGGGGAGAACGGAAUUCCUGGUGUAGCGGUGAAAUGCGCAGAUAUCAGGAGGAACACCGGUGGCGAAGGCGGUUCUCUGGGCAUGAUCUGACGCUGAGGAGCGAAAGUGUGGGGAGCGAACAGG